CAAUCACCUAAAUUGGACUGUGCUGAGGAAAAGCUGACCUUCUCCUUUCUCCAGUACAUAGAAAGGAGCGGCUUUUAUUCUUCGCUUGGCAGGAUGGAGUACAACCACCCUACCUGAGUAAAGAGUGGCAAAGACAUCUAAAUUUUCUGCGUGUGACGUAAAUUAGAAUCUUGAUUUUUGCUUCUUGAGUAACAACACACAUCAGUCUCUCCCACCAGGAAAUAGACACGAUCUGUAUGCACGUAUUUAAAAAUCACACAACUUUAAGUAGGCUGUCAUGCCAUGUCACCAUAAUUCUUCAAUAUUUAAUUAAAAACCACAACAACUUAAUAUUCAAGUCCUGUCAAGAAAACUAAUUGGAUACAGAGACCAGCUGCUGGAGAAGUUUGGAUGUCAACUCCAAAUGGUAAUGUGAGUGGCUUGCACUGGCUUGUGGGUACACAUUUAAAAUACUCGGUCACCACAGAAUUACAGAAAAUGCUGUGUUUUUAUUAUGAAGUCUUGACAUUUUAGCCAGAGAGAUUAAUCUUUAACGACAAGAUACACAAAUCCUGUUUAAUUAGAGGCUGAUCUUUUUACAGCAAUUCUCACUUUAGCAUUUUGUGAUAGGAAGCUCUCUCUUGGAAGAGCGGGUGCCUGCAGGUAUCUGUGGAUCUAGGUACACCUGCACAACCUUCAGUUCCCCCCCAUCUCUGAGAUUAAGCUAUUUUACAGUAGGGAUG